AGAGUUUGAUCCUGGCUCAGAGCGAACGCUGGCGGCAGGCCUAACUCAUGCAAGUCGAACGGAUCCUUCGGGAUUAGUGGCGGACGGGUGAGUAACACGUGGGAACGUGCCUUUUGGUUCGGAACAACUCAGGGAAACUUGAGCUAAUACCGGAUAAGCCCUUCGGGGGAAAGAUUUAUCGCCAUUAGAGCGGCCCGCGUCUGAUUAGCUAGUUGGUGAGGUAAAGGCUCACCAAGGCGACGAUCAGUAGCUGGUCUGAGAGGAUGAUCAGCCACAUUGGGACUGAGACACGGCCCAAACUCCUACGGGAGGCAGCAGUGGGGAAUCUUGCGCAAUGGGCGAAAGCCUGACGCAGCCAUGCCGCGUGAAUGAUGAAGGUCUUAGGAUUGUAAAAUUCUUUCACCGGGGACGAUAAUGACGGUACCCGGAGAAGAAGCCCCUGCUAACUUCGUGCCAGCAGCCGCGGUAAUACGAAGGGGGCUAGCGUUGCUCGGAAUUACUGGGCGUAAAGGGAGCGUAGGCGACUGUUAAGUUAGGGGUGAAAGCCCAGGGCUCAACCUUGGAAUUGCCUUUGAUACUGGCAGUCUUGAGUACGGAAGAGGUAUGUGGAACUCCGAGUGUAGAGGUGAAAUUCGUAGAUAUUCGGAAGAACACCAGUGGCGAAGGCGACAUACUGGUCCGUUACUGACGCUGAGGCUCGAAAGCGUGGGGAGCAAACAGGAUUAGAUACCCUGGUAGUCCACGCCGUAAACGAUGAGUGCUAGUUGUCGGCAUGCAUGCAUGUCGGUGACGCAGCUAACGCAUUAAGCACUCCGCCUGGGGAGUACGGUCGCAAGAUUAAAACUCAAAGGAAUUGACGGGGGCCCGCACAAGUGUGGAGCAUGUGGUUUAAUUCGAAGCAACGCGCAGAACCUUACCACCUUUUGACAUGCCCGGACCACCAGAGAGAUCUGGCUUUCCCUUCGGGGACUGGGACACAGGUGCUGCAUGGCUGUCGUCAGCUCGUGUCGUGAGAUGUUGGGUUAAGUCCCGCAACGAGCGCAACCCUCGCGAUUAGUUGCCAUCAGGUUUGGCUGGGCACUCUAAUCGUACUGCCGGAGUUAAUCCGGAGGAAGGCGGGGAUGACGUCAAGUCCUCAUGGCCCUUACAAGGUGGGCUACACACGUGCUACAAUGGCGACUACAGAGGGCUGCAAUCCCGCGAGGGGGAGCCAAUCCC
rnacentral:rRNA from 1 species